rnacentral:rRNA from 1 species
ACUCCUACGGGAGGCAGCAGUGGGGAAUAUUGCACAAUGGGGGAAACCCUGAUGCAGCCAUGCCGCGUGUGUGAAGAAGGCCUUCGGGUUGUAAAGCACAUUCAGUAGGGAGGAAGGUAGUGUAGUUAACACCUGCAUUAUUUGACGUUACCUACAGAAGAAGCACCGGCUAACUCCGUGCCAGCAGCCGCGGUAGUACGGAGGGUGCGAGCGUUAAUCGGAAUUACUGGGCGUAAAGCGCAUGCAGGCGGCCUGUUAAGUCAGAUGUGAAAGCCCGGGGCUUAACCUCGGAAUUGCAUUUGAAACUGGCAGGCUAGAGUCUUGUAGAGGGGUUAGAAUUUCAGGUGUAGCGGUGAAAUGCGUAGAGAUCUGAAGGAAUACCGAGUGGCGAAGGCGGCCCCUGGACAAGACUGACGCUCAGAUGCGAAAGCGUGGGAGCAAACAGGAUUAGAUACCCCGUGGUAGCGACUGA